AAUAAACGACAAAGGGUGAGCACAUUUUUAAAGUAAAAUUGAAAGAAAUAGGCUACAUCUCAUCAAUGUAAACAAAACGUGUUUGUGCGCUUAAAACCACCAGCGUUUAUGAAGCGAGUUGUCAUCUUUUUUGUCUGUCUUGAGCUGGUGCGCUUUUCCUCCUCCUGAUGUUCAGCUUCCUCUGGGAGGGUCAUGCUGUGGCCAGCUGCCUUGCUCUCACUGUCAUGCUUCUUCUGCACAUCUUGGAUGUGUGUGUGUCAGAAUGCCCAGAGAGCUGCGUCUGCUCAGAGAGUGUCGACGGUGGGCUGAUGGUCCGUUGUAGAGACAUGAACUUAAUUGCGGUGCCACGUGGCCUUCCGAACAACACAAGACAUCUAUACCUAGACAACAACCUGCUCUUUACUAUACCAUCUGAUUCAUUUAUAGGGCUCCCACUGCUGUUCAAACUAGAUCUUUCCCACAACAGACUGGUGCAUCUGGAGCCAGGAGCCUUUAGAGACCAAGCGGGCUCGUUAAGCAGCUUGGACCUUUCUUUUAACCUGCUGGAGACACUGGACCCCGAGGCGUUUGGCGACCUCAGAGCCCAGACUAACCUCUCUCAUAACCCGUGGCUGUGUGACUGCCGUCUGCAGCUGGCUAUGCCACAGCUGCUCUUAGAUCCCUCCUCCCUCGCUGAGGUGGUGUGCAACACUUCUGAACCCGAGGAGCUGGGAGCUCAAGCACGGUCAUCCUAGACUCCUGUGUUCCUCCAGCGAUCCCUCCUUCAAGGUCUCCUCUUCUGCAUUUACCCAGAGGCAUGCAAAUAUAUGUGCCGUUUAAUCAAAUCAUUGACUGCUGAACACUGGGUUAGGGCCUUACAUGUACAGCAUCCCCUGAAACAGCACAUGAAGAAAACUGGUUACAAGCCGUCUCCAGAAACCGAAUUUAAAAGUUUUUCUUCUGUAUACCCACAAAACCAGAAGAAACCAAUAUGGGAGAUGAAAGACCAGUAACAAAGCUCAAUGUCUCCACCACUAAGGACGAGGAGGAAAUACUUGCAGCUAAUGGUUAUCAGCUCAUCAAUUCUGACCUCAAUGAAGGAACUGGUAAAAACCGGGUCUUUCUUUGGUACAAGAAAGAGUGUGGCUUGAAACCUGUGACCAGGAUCCAGUUUUCAUUCAGUGAGCAAAUGAAAUCUGGUCUGGCUGAUGCUGGGUAUGAGCUGGUGGACAAGGAUCUGAACGCAGGAGCUGGCGGAGAUUUCAUCUUUCUUUGGUACUUCUACGGCAGCACUGAAUCUGACAUUCCCAUUAUGAACCUCGAGGUAACUAAAGAUGCCGAAGAAGAACCUGCUCUCCUGAAAGAUGGCUGGGAGAGACUGGGCUGUGAUCUGAACCGUAGAGCAAGAGGAAAGUUCAUCUACCUGUGGGUGAAGAGAGAGAAGCCGAGCUACAUCUGUGAGAUCACAGCGACUAUUGACUUCUCUUGUGACAGGUACAUGUUUGAGCAGGGCUUCACUCGUGUGGAUGAAGACACCAACCGUGACGCUUGUGGAAACUACGUCUUCCUCUGGUAUCGCCGCACAACUGAUAAGAGCAAGGCUCUCACUGCUCUAAACGUAUCCACCUCCCCCCAGGAGCAGGCAAAGCUGCAGGCUUCAGGCUUCAAUAUGGUUGUUGCGGAUCUCAGUGUAGGAGCUGGUGGAAAAUAUAUCCAUGCAUGGUACAGGAAAGAAAGACGUGAAUCACAGAUCCAAGCUAUGGUUCUACUGAUCAAUCCUGAUGCCUGGAAGGAGUAUCAGAAAGCUGGCAUCAGCUUUGUUGAAAAAAAUCUGAAUGAGGGCAACAAGGGUUUGAAAAUGCACAUAGCAUACAAGUGAAGGAUGUUAGGAUUCUUUGGUACUUGAUAGGUACUUGAUAUUAAUAAAUAAGCUUCCACAUAAAUUAAAUCAGUACAUUGAUGGUUAAAGAAGAUGACAUGAAAAUGUAAAUGGCACAAACAAAACACAAACUCAAAAGCUAAAAAGGAACGGUAGAUGAACAAUUCAUAAAUUCUUAAAGUUAUGCCCAAUAAGCACUUGACCCCAGCUUGCUUCAUAUUCACUCCUUUAUUGAGACUACUGUAAGUAGCUUUGGAUAAGAAAACUUUUACUAAAUAAAAAAAUGUGCUCAUUGUGUCCAUGAGGUGGCAGAGCAGCUCCCCACAGAGCAGCUCUGUUAUAUUAUGACCAUGGACUGUUGUAAAACAUUGUUUCAUUUUUGCAUUUUCUUUUUCUUUGACUGUUUGUCACUCUUGUGGAAGUUUUUCUAGUGGAAAGCAUGCAUUUGCAAUAAAGCCAACUUUAGCUACAACAAA